UAGUGGCAGACGGGUGAGUAAUGUAUAGGAAUCUACCUARUAGUACGGAAUAAUUGUUGGAAACGGCAACUAAUACCGUAUACGCCCUACGGGGGAAAAAUUUAUUGCUAUUAGAUGAGCCUAUAUUAGAUUAGCUAGUUGGUGGAGUAAUAGCCUACCAAGGCAAUGAUCUAUAGCUGAUCUGAGAGGAUGAUCAGCCACACUGGAACUGAGAUACGGUCCAGACUCCUACGGGAGGCAGCAGUGGGGAAUAUUGGACAAUGGGCGAAAGCCUGAUCCAGCCAUGCCGCAUGAGUGAAGAAGGCCUUUGGGUUGUAAAGCUCUUUUAGUGAGGAAGAUAAUGACGGUACUCACAGAAGAAGUCCUGGCUAACUCCGUGCCAGCAGCCGCGGUAAUACGGAGAGGGCUAGCGUUAUUCGGAAUYAUUGGGCGUAAAGGGCGCGUAGGCGGAUUAGUAAGUUAAAAGUGAAAUCCCAAGGCUCAACCUUGGAAUUGCUUUYAAAACUGCUARUCUAGAGAUUGAAAGAGGAUAGAGGAAUUCCUAGUGUAGAGGUGAAAUUCGUAAAUAUUAGGAGGAACACCAGUGGCGAAGGCGUCUAUCUGGUUCAAAUCUGACGCUGAKGCGCGAAGGCGUGGGGAGCAAACAGGAUUAGAUACCCUGGUAGUCCACGCUGUAAACGAUGAAUGUUAAAUAUGGGAAGUUUACUUUCUGUAUUACAGCUAACGCGUUAAACAUUCCGCCUGGGGACUACGGUCGCAAGAUUAAAACUCAAAGGAAUUGACGGGGACCCGCACAAGCGGUGGAGCAUGUGGUUUAAUUCGAUGCAACGCGAAAAACCUUACCANUCCUUG
rnacentral:rRNA from 1 species